GUCUUGAAUAUGCUCUCGCCUUCAUGCCUACUUUCUCCAAGCCACUUUCUUUGUGAAAAAGAUAACCAAUGCUGUCUCAUGUUGAAUGAAAUAAAUCACUGUGGAAGCCUGCCGAUAAGCUCUGUAGCAUGGUGUGAGAGAUGGAAAGAAAAGGAGCUGUGAUGGCUUGGUGGAAGUGGUUUUACUUCAAGAACUAUUUGGUGAGAUUUUUAAAGAACCUGGAAGAUGUCCUCCUGAAUUCCUCUCUGAAGCUCAGAAAAGAACAAGAUGCUGAAGACCUUAGUGCUAUGACAUUGGCUUAGUAUGUGAAAAGAAAACUUGCCCAAGAAAUCAGGCAGAACUGAGUCAGUCUUGAAGGUUUGUAGCAACGUUUCAGAAGAAGAACAACCUAUGACAAGGGAAUAAUUUCUGCUGGAAGCCCUGGAGAAAAAGAUAUGAGAAACAAGCCUAAGUGAUAACUGAGUCCCCAGGAGGAUGGAGAUGCCAGGAAUGUAUAGUGUCCACCAAUGCUGAUGAGAUGGUUCAGCAGGUGAAGUAUCCUACCACCAAGCCAGAUGACACAAGUUCAAACUCCUGGGCAUACCAGAUAGAGGUAGAAAAUCACUCCAGCAAAUGGACCUCUGAUGACCACACAGUUUCUCAGUCUGAUUGACAUUGGUUCAGAAUUUAAAAGGAAUAACAACUUCAUUAGACAAUAUCUAAACAAAAAAUAAGAAAAAUGAGAAAGCUUUUGUGGAUUAACACAGCAUCCAGCAAGAACCUCCAUCAAGACUCAAACG